UGGAUUUUAGCCCACCCUCUUCCUUUCCAGUCUGUUCGACUAAAAUUGCUGUCCUUGACCAGAAGCCCACGAUCAUUCCUGCACCAGAAAACAACUGUGCUUCUCCUCCUGUGGCUGUCUUCACCACUUUCCCACCUCAGUUCUGCUGUUUUACUGUGUCAUUGAUCUUUCUGUCUCUCCUAAGCCAGGGUUGUGUAAAAGAUAGACUGGGCUCUAGUGGCAGAUCCCUGGGUGAUUUUGCAGUAGAUUGGCAAGGGUUUCUGACUCCCGACUGUUUAAAUAUAGCAACACAAAAUUAGUUCCCACCCAAAAUAGGGCACUGAGAAGAAACAAGCUAAAUAGGGGUUAUGUGUGAAAGUACUGUAACAGGUUAUUUCCUGUUAUUGAAAAUAAAUUCCUAGGCUCAGAACAUGCUCAGAGGCUCCCUUGUUCUUUAAUUCUGCCGGCUAUGUUUUUCGCUUUGGUUGGUGAAUCUUUGGGUUCUAGUAUAGUAGUAGUAGUAGUAGUAGUAGUAGUAGUAGUAGUAAUAUCUGGCAAGUCUGAAGUCUGCCCAGCCCUGCUAUACAGCUUCUGGAAUUGAUGUAUGAGUGUGUUUAUGUUUAAAUAUAUAAAUUAAAAUGGUAUGGAAGAUUUCAUAUGCUGUGAAUUCACUGUGUCUCAUUGUGGAGUUUGAAAAGAAGACAAUGGUGAUGUUGACAUAUUGGAGAAUAAGAAUCCAUAAAAUGAGAUUAGUAAAGCGUUAAGACCCAGUACGUAAUUCAGUUUCCAUAGUUGAUCAGGGUUUUGUUGAGAAUGCGUAUACAUUUCAUUUAUUAAUUACUUUUAUAAAAAAAAAUUUAUAAGCCACCAAUUCAUAAGGAAAAUGUCAAAGUAGUUCGCAACAACUGUACAUUAAACCAUACCAUAAAAACCAUACAAAAAAAGUUAAAAUCAGAUUACUGUUGUGGAAAGGUGUAUUCUUAUUUGCAUGCAUAAGCCUAAUGGGACAGGAAAGUUUUCAGCAGGUGCUUCAAAGUUGAAACAGGAGAAGCCUGCUGAACUUCUACUAGCUGAGUAUUCCACAGGACAGGGCUGACUCUAAAGGCUUGGUUCCUUGUUCUCAAAUAAUCCUCGCUGACUCAGAGAACAACCAGCAACAUCUGUGGCAGAUGAUCCUAGUGAUCAAACUGGAAUGUAAGGGUCAGGCAGUCCCUGAGAUACCCAGGACCUGAUCUGUUCAAGGCUUCAUAAAUUAAUACAAGAUUUCAUAUUUUUCUCUACAACGAAGGACGAGAAGAAUUCCUCCUGCAUGUUUGUUUUUAAUUUAGGCUUCUCUUAUUUUUGAAGCCGCUAUUAGAUUUUCUGACCCUUGCACUCAUCAGAUCAGUGGUCGGCACAAAAGAGGAGCCAACCAAAUAGAGAAAUUAGCUUUACAGAAACUUCUUCCUUUUGGGGGUGUAGGGAAGUGAAGUUCCAUUUGGGGGGGGGAUAGAAGUCUCCCAUUGCCCAUGAAAUUGUCUGAACCUCUGACCCUGAAGCUCCUUGCAUGUGUGUGAAGAAGUCUGCCCUAACUGUACAUGUUUCCCAAUUUUGACUCUGUCCUGCUACUGCUAAAUAGGCAGCGUUUCCUUCAUUUCAUCUCCACAGUUCAUAUGUAAGAUACAGGAGCGUUGCUCCUGUUCCAUACAAAGUGAAAGACAUCACCCUAAUAUGAUACCCCUGUGAUGUUCUAAUGAAUUCUUGACUAUUGAUUAUUCUCCCCGUUUGCUUUUCCUGUGAGUAUUUGUGUUGGCUGCAAGUAAUUGUGGUUGUGCUUAUCUCACAACAAGUGCAGCAAAUGAACUGCUUUCUUUGGGAUAAUUAGCUUUUCUGUGGAAUUUACCAUCCUGAAUGCUGUUUCCAAAUUAAUUUCAGUGUUCUUUUCCUAUAAUCUCUGCUGGUUAUUUUAGCUCCUGCUGGGGAAAGAGGCAGGGAGAUAGAAUAGGAUAAAGCUUCAUAGUAAUGAGGAGAUAAUUUAAUGGUGUGUGAUGUACUGUUCUAGAGAGGAAACUAGAUGUUCACGGGUGUGAUUUCUCUUAGAAUUCCAUUAAUUUUCCUUUGUCUGUGGAUUUCUUUGUUGUUCACCUAGGACUCUGGGUUGUUGUUGUUGUUUAAUCGUUUAGUCGUGUCCGACUCUUCGUGACCCCAUGGACCAGAGCACGCCAGGCACUCCUGUCUUGCACUGCCUCCCGCAGUUUGGUCAAACUCAUGUUCGUAGCUUCGAGAACACUGUCCAACCAUCUCGUCCUCUGUCGUCCCCUUCUCCUAGUGCCCUCAAUCUUUCCCAACAUCAGGGUCUUUUCCAAGGAUUCUUCUCUUCUCGUGAGGUGGCCAAAGUAUUGGAGCCUCAGCUUCACGAUCUGUCCUUCCAGUGAGCACUCAUUCACCCCAUUAACUUAUUUAUCCUGGUUUGUUGAAAUACUUCAUCUGAACUAGAGAGAAGUGUGUGUGCUUUUGGCAAAUUCUUUUUAGCUCUUGUAGAAAUGUACUCUUCAUCCUAUAUAGUUGUAGAGAAAGCAAAGUAGCUAGUUUUACUCACAAUUUCUGCUUUCUUCCAUAAGUCUAUAUUGGGCAGCUUAAAAAGUAACUUACCAUUGAAGCCAACACUUGUUGAGCAAGGGAUGAGAAAACCUGCCUCGGAUGCGCUGGAGUUAACAACCUAGAAAUUUGAGUUUUAAAAUGUCAUACUGGAAAGGUUGUGUGACCUGGUGUUGCAAAGGAGCCAAGAGACUGGAUUAUGAAUCAAUAGUAUAUCAAUCUUAAUUGACGCAUCUACUAUGAACGCAUCACAUGAUUUUAGCCAAGCUACUUUCAACUUCAGGAUAAUGCCAAUUUACUCAACAUGGUUGUUGUAAGGAUUGUAACAGGAGAAUUUGUACGAAGCACUCUGAACACCCGAAAGCAACAUGUAAAACUAUUAUUGCGUAUUUAUAAACAUUGUGCAAUAUAUAGAAAUGUGUUACUGUUAUUGUUAUUGUUGCUUUUAGUAAUAAUCAAAUAAGGGGGGAAACAAUUCGCCCUAUUUGAGGAUAAAGGGAAAAGGCAGUGGUUUUCUCUCAAGUGCGGAUAGGACACACUGGCAAACAGCCUGGCUUCUCCAGGCAGCAGACAGGGUCAAAAUUAAUGACAUCAUCCAGAAGGAGGGGGCUCCUACUUGCCCAGACUAGCCUUGCCUCAGUGACAGAAGUCAAAGGGCUCGCAUUUGUCUGUUCAGGUGCGUGUACCUGAACCAUCCCACAGAAUGCACGGAGAGUAGAAUUUUGUUGCUUAAAUUCCUUCACUUUGCGGUGGAAUGUGGGCAGACUGCCUCACUCUUAGUUGUUUUGGAGUCGUGCACCCAAGCGAGAGAGCCAUUGUGGUGUAGGGGUUAAGAGUGGUAGACUCGUAAUCUGGGGAACCGGGUUCGUGUCUCUGCUCCUCCACAUGCAGCUGCUGGGUGACCUUGGGCUAGUCACACUUCUCUGAAUUCUGUCAGUCCCACCCACCUCACAGGGUGUUUGUUGUGGGGGAGGAAGGGAAAGGAGAAUGUUAGCCGCUUUGAGACUCCUUCGGGUAGUGAUAAAGCGGAAUAUCAAAUCCAAACUCUUCUACUCGUUGACUCUUUGGGUAUUGCCUCUGUUCUGUAUUGUGGUGUUUUGCUUUAAACUGUUAUGGCUGGCAGCCUUCUCAGAAAUAUAGUUGGUUACUUUUCUUGAAUUUGUGCUCUGCAUGGAGGGGUCUUCUUCUGGCACUGCUCUAGCAUGGUUGAGGCAAGCAGGAGCCAACUCAUCCUGGAUGAUGCCAUCGGUUUUAAUCCUGCCUGCUCCUAGGCGGAACCAUCCCAUUUCUCAGGCUAACCUACUUCCACUAGGAAGAAUUAGAAUUUACAGAUAAGUGACAAAACCCCACCCUUUCAUUUAUAUGCAAGCCAGUUUAGGGUAAAUAAUCCCUUGACUAUAAGAGCAGUUCAGCCAAUGAGACGUAAUUCCUAGGGAUGUUUAGGACUCUGCUUCCUCAACGGAACGUGAUUUUCUGUGCUUCCUAAGUAAUGGUAGUUCAGUCAUGGUGGUGUUUUAUUUCAUUUGUAUCCCAUCCUCUCUGUAUAGUGUUUUAUUCUUGAAAUUAGCCCAUGAAGUAGGUUCAGUUGAGAGGUGGUAACUGGGCCUAAGGGGAGCUUUAUGCAUGACUCGGAAAAUGAAGCCAGGGUUUCCCUACCAUCCUGUCCUCUAUGUCAUCCCCGAAGUGCUGAAACUCGAGUCCUGUGGUCAGUUCUGGACAUCCAGAAGAAUGUGAAUAAGCUGAAAAGGAAUCGGAGGAGAGUGAACAAAUCAAUUGAGAUGCUUAGUAAGAACAUUAUUGGGGUUUUUUAUGUUUUACAAGACUACAGAAGAUAAAAUGAGUAGUUGUCUUAAAUCUAUGUAAAUCUCAAGGGAGGGGAUUAGCUUAAAUGUUAGGGAGAAGGCAGCUCGUGAGGCUUUUUCAGAUAAAAGCUAAGGCUAGGGGGAUCAUUUUGAUAUAGGAGAUCUAUGUUGAGUCAGGGGAUUAAAUCAGGUAACACUUGGGUCUAGAACCCCUGUAUUUGUUAAGGAGAAACUGAUGAGGUAAGGGCUUGCAUUAUUUACAUUUUUCUUUUACUGAAAUCAUUGUAGUCUACCAGUAAUCUACCAUUGUAGUCUGCCAGCGUGUCUUCAAAGUUACAAAGAGAGCAGAUGCAGGAUGUUUAAACAGUAAAGGUGUAAUAAAUAGAGAAUAAUAAUAUACUAAUAAUGUGUAUAAUAAUUGUUGUGAUGUAGCAGGAUUCUGAUAAACCUUCCAAUUUGCUGACGGAAUGGAGCUGUCAGAAUGUUUGCACACAAGCUUCUCUGAGUGAAGGGGAGAUUGCCUGUCUAUGAUUAAACCUUACAAAGGCCCAAGUGCCAGAAGAAAGUCUGUGUGGCAAGCCGAGGCCAGGAGGAGGUCCCAGGAAAUAGGGAAGCUAAGAGACAGGGAAAACCCAGUCAAGUUUACUGAAGUAAGUGUGCACUGAACUGAGAAAGAGGAACCUGCAGGGGGUGCAGAAGACAGAAGAUGGGUGGAGGAGAAGGAUAUGAGGCAAUGUCAACUCCUGACUUGAACUAGCUAGGCAGUUCCCAAAACCCACACUCAAAAUCUCUUAAACUGCCAUUAUUAAGUGUAAAGCAUCUAAAGUGUUUUGUGGCACUGUGCAGAGAUGAAAAAGCAAAACAUAACUCUGACCACAGACUUGAAUCCAAUAGACUUCAUACAAACGGAAAAAGUGACGGGGUGGGAAGAAGAAAAUGAUAAAAUUUAGACAGUGAUUCUUCACAAAGUUGCAUAAAUAGUUCAUGAUCAAGUGGAGUGGCCUCUAAGAGAGACUUUUCUGUGGGAUGAGGAAUGAAGUGCCGUUGGUCCCUGCCAAUCCCCUGGAGUGGGUCCUGCUGUCUCCCCUUCCUUCUCCCCUUGCUCUGUGAUUAUUUGUGCUAGUGUAAUGGGGCUGUCACACUGAAGCUAUUUGCUCUGCUUUUCCUUAACUGCCCGUGAUAAGGCAUGCUUGAGAAGACCCACUAUGGCAUGCUUUGAGAAACUCCGCAUGGCUUUGUAUUCUACCUUGACAAUACACUUGCAGUUCUGAGAAGAAUUCCCAUGUCACAAAGCACUAAAUCAAGAAAGAUGUUCUGAAUGUCCUUGGGUAGGGUUGGGCAAUAUCCAGUUUUCAACAUCGCAAUAUAUCACCAGCUAAACAUCAUGAUAUACUGAUAUAUCAUGCUCUCUGAAAAAGGAGCUAUGUAGAGGAAUUGGCUGGCUUCAUGGUUUUUCUCACAUCGUGAUUUUUGCAUCACACACACACACACACACAAACUGGGCAAGGUAUCGGUAUUUGAAGUUCACAUUGUGGUAACGAUUUCAUACUAUUCAGCAGGGCGAUAUAUCGCGAAUCACAAUGUGUGCAUGUGCUAUGUAAAAAAUCGCAAUGUGGGGAAAACCAUGAAGCUGGUCAUUGCUUGCCUCGUGAUUCCUUCUGCCCCUGUUGCUCUGUACUAUAAAAUAACAGUUGCAACAAUAUGUUAAAGGUAAGUAAAAAUGUCUCAGUUUUAGACCCCUAAGUAGCAGCAGUUUUUCAGGACAUUACUUUGUUCACCUCUACAUAAUUACAUCCUUGUUUCAGACAUCAUGAUAUAUGGGUAUAUCACAAUGUUUAGCUGGUGAUAUAUUGCGAUGUUGAAAGCCAGACAUCGCUCAGCCUUAACACACAUCAUGAUUCACAAUACAUUGCCAGGUCAAAAAUUAUGAAACCGAUUAUCACGAUAUGGAAUGCAAAACUGGUUUUGGAUAAUAUAUCGCCCAACCCUAUCCUUAGACACGAGGUGUGUUAAGAACAAGACUGCAAUGCGGCCAACUUAUGGCCCCAUCCAGCUUCAGUGCAAUGCAUGCAUUGAGGCCAUCAAAACAAUUAAUUAAUUGAUGCUUUGUUCCAUAGAAAUCCACUUUCCCCAUGCAGAUUCGGAUACUAUAAGGCAAAACCACAACAAAAAAUGAUAAAACAAAAACUAAACAGAAUAAGCCCCAUUGGAAAUCAAUGGGACUUCUGAGUAGACAUGCAUAGGAUUGUGUAUGUAAACCUUUUAGUAGCAGCAGCAGUCAUCAGGCAGUAUCCCCACACACCACGAUCCUGCUUUUUGAAAUGCAUGUGUAAUUGCUUAAACACAAUUAAUAUGAUGUGCAAUUCAGUGGCCAUUAUGUGGGUUUCUCUGCAGAGUCAGAACACAUAUCUACAUGCCCCCAGAAGGUUGUAUAACAGGCAGCUGGGAAAUGGAAUUAUCUUGAUUUCUUUAUUGGUGCAGAGGGAGGGAGCAGGGGGUGAGAGUAGGAUUUCCAAAUGAGACUGUGGCCGGUGCCACAUGUGGGUAACAGUUGUUUCCAGAAAGGAAAGAGGAAACAUAAUCUGGGUGGAUCGCUUAAGCAGUAAGCAUGGUGCAAUGCUAAUCAUGCUUCUUUCCUGCAAUCUCUGGCUUUCCUCAUCUUCUUCUCUUGUUGCCCAUCAAUCAUUGCAGGCUGGUACUUAAUCUUACUCUCCUGCCAAUGUACCUGGGAAGUGCCUUGCACAUUCUCAGCCAUGCUUGUUUUAUGCUUCAUUAUUUUUUAUCGGAAUUGUUUCAGAAAAUGCCACAUUUCUCUCUUUUUGGAGCAGGCAAAAAAAGGGGCUCAUAAACUCUCUGGUCUCACUCGAUGAAACCUAGCUGUUUCCAUUCACACAGACCCCUCCUGCUGAGCGUGCCUAAGUGCCUUUUUCUCUGCACUCCUGUUGGAGCACACACUUGACAUCUUCUUGUCUGACCCAUCGUGCAUCUGUGCGGAAGUGUCUCUGAUCUAGUUUCUUCUUUUCUGUGCAAGUUCCCAGGGCUGUGCUCUGUGAGUGACAUCUGCCUUGAUUCUGAUGACAAGAAUCAAAAGGGUAGGGUGUUGUUACAUGCUCAGUCAGUCUCUUUGGCUCAUCCUGAAAACUAUUGCUAUGGGCAGAAUGCUGAAAUGCUCCUUUCUCUGGAAGAUCACAAGCAUGCUUUCUAGGUCUGUGGGUGCAUUUGUGCAUACCUUGGAAUUGCAGCUGUAAUUGUCAUUGUAAGCCACCUUCCCAGUACAGGCGAAUUAAACAUUCCUUAUUUGUGUGAGGAAAUAUAUGCUUGCCACCUGACCAGAUGAGGGCAGUUUUGAACAGAAAGACCAAGGCUAAGGGGUUGAAACGCCAAUUGUCCAUUGCCCAUCGUUACCAUAUUGAAUAGGCAGUUCAGAAGUGUGAUUUCUUUGGAUGGAAACUGUGUGGUUUACGGGGAAACUUUCCUCAUCCUUUGCUAGAUUGGGAAUAUUUUGAGAAGAACAUAUCGCCAGUUUCCGUAUCUCCCAUGUCACAUUGGCUGCAUUUUUUU